AUACUUAUCUGGCAGGGGAGACAGCAAGAUCACGAAGGUGGUUUUCUCAGGGCAAGGCUUAUCCAUUGCACUCUGGAUGUGCUGACCCCUGCGAUUUCCCCAAAUGUGAGAAACUCGACUGCAUAAUUUGUGGUAGUCGGGGGACUGUAUUCGUGCUUUCCCCUA
rnacentral:snRNA from 1 species